CUCAAGAGGCAUCUGCUCAGGGAAUGGUGGCCAGAGUCAACUGUAGGAGGAAGAAGAAAAAUGUUUGCAGAGGAGAGAGAAAGGAGUUCGCGGUGGUUGUUCUGCUAUUGGUGAGGAUUUAGGUUCGUGGGGAGGCUGAACCGUCGUCUGUUGGUGGAGGAGAAAGGUUUCCGUGGGGUGAAGCAGCAGGGAGAGAGAAAGAAGAGAGAGAAAUGUUGGCUGGAAAAAAAACAGGGCAGUAAGCUGAUUUUUGG
rnacentral:lncRNA from 1 species